rnacentral:rRNA from 1 species
UACGUAGGUGGCGAGCGUUGUCCGGAAUUACUGGGCGUAAAGCGCACGCAGGCGGCUCGUCAAGUUCGACGUGAAAGCUCCCGGCUUAACUGGGAGAGGUCGUUGAAAACUGGCGAGCUUGAGGCAAUGAGAGGGGUGUAGAAUUCCCGGUGUAGUGGUGGAAUGCGUAGAUAUCGGGAGGAAUACCAGUGGCGAAAGCGGCACCCUAGCGUUGUUCUGACGCUCAUGUGCGAAAGCGUGGGGAGCGAACGGG